GAUGAACGCUGGCGGCGUGCCUAAUACAUGCAAGUCGAACGCUGAAGGAAGGAGCUUGCUCUUUCCGGAUGAGUUGCGAACGGGUGAGUAACGCGUAGGUAACCUGCCUGGUAGCGGGGGAUGACUAUUGGAAACGAUAGCUAAUACCGCAUAACAGUAGAUGUUGCAUGAUAUCUACUUAAAAGGUGCAAUUGCACCACUACCAGAUGGACCUGCGUUGUAUUAGCUAGUUGGUGAGGUAACGGCUCACCAAGGCGACGAAACAUAGCCGACCUGAGAGGGGGAGCGGCCCACCUGGGACUUGGACACGGGCCAGACUUCUUCGGGAGGCAGCAGGAGGGGAAUUUUGGGAAUGGACGGAAGUCUGACCGGGGAACGCCGCGGGGGGGAAGAAGGUUCUCGGGUCGGAAAGCUCGGUUGUAAGAGAAGAACGAGUGUGGGAGUGGAAAGUGCACACUGUGACGGUACCUAACCAGAAAGGGACGGCUAACUACGUG
rnacentral:rRNA from 1 species